rnacentral:rRNA from 1 species
CCUACGGGAGGCAGCAGUGGGGAAUUUUCCGCAAUGGGCGAAAGCCUGACGGAGCAACGCCGCGUGAGGGAUGAAGGCCUCUGGGCUGUAAACCUCUUUUCUCAAGGAAGAAGCUGACGGUACUUGAGGAAUAAGCCACGGCUAAUUCCGUGCCAGCAGCCGCGGUAAUACGGGAGUGGCAAGCGUUAUCCGGAAUUAUUGGGCGUAAAGCGCGCGUAGGCCGUUGAGUUAGUUAAUUGUGAAAUCCCAAAGCUUAACUUUGGAACUGCAAUUAAAACUGCUCGACUAGAGUUUGAUAGAGGAAAGCGGAAUACAUAGUGUAGAGGUGAAAUUCGUAGAUAUUAUGUAGAACACCAGUUGCGAAGGCGGCUUUCUGGAUCAACACUGACGCUGAGGCGCGAAAGUAUGGGUAGCAAAGAGGAUUAGAUACCCUCGUAGUCCAUACCAUAAACGAUGAUUGCUAGAUGUUGGAAAUUUAUUUUCAGUAUCGCAGCUAACGCAUUAAGCAAUCCGCCUGGGGAGUACGACCGCAAGGUUAAAACUCAAAUGAAUUGACGG